GACAGGGGUGCCAAGCGUUAGGCGGAAUCACUGGGCUUAAAGCGUGUGUAGGCGGAUCGUUAAGUGCCUUGUGAAAUCCCACGGCUUAACCGUGGAACUGCUCGGCAUACUGGCGGUCUUGAGCCAGCUAGGGGCUACCGGAACAAAUGGUGGAGCGGUGAAAUGCGUAGAUAUCAUUUGGAACGCCAAUGGUGAAAACAGGUAGCUGGGGCUGUGCUGACGCUGAGACACGAAAGCCAGGGGAGCGAACGGG
rnacentral:rRNA from 1 species